ACAGGCGUGCAGGGCCAGGGGCUGGGGGAGGCGGGCGCAGCUGCCAGAGGAAGUCUGCGGUCGGAACAGGCUAGGUGGGGGGUGUCGGGGGAGGGGUGCUGAGGUGCAGCCAGCUUCCCCCACCACCCCAGGCUGUCCGCCCAGGCUCCAGGAAUGCAAGUUCCCGCUCACAGGAAGACCAGGUCUUCUGCCUCAGUUUCCCUGCCUGACAAUCCAGGGGAGCAAUGCCUGUGGGGCUGCUCACUGCCCCCAGACCUUCUGCACAUGUGUGACUCCUGUGACAUCAUCUGUCUCCAGGUUUCCAGACUUCUCAGCCCCACCCUUGCAGCAGCAGGUCAGCCUGGCUUUUAGAAAGAGAAUUUUAUUUGGAAUGAAAAUAUAGAGCCCACCCUCCCGCCUCCUCUGGGGAGGGAGCAGAGGGCUGGGCAGUGGUCGGGGAGAUGGUCCCUCAGAGGUCGAGGAGCUCGCCUGGGCGUAGACAUCCUCCACAGGAACAGUGAGGAAAGCUGGGCGCUGGCUUCGGCCUGGGCCUGGGACGGGUGGGGGUGGGAACUGACCUCUGCGCUGCCUCAGAGGCUCUGGGCAGCCAGCUAGCCCAGUGCGACCCACUGGCAGAAGCUGAGUGGGAAGGGGGCGGAGGAGGAGAUGAAGGUGGCGUGUGGCUGUGGCCCUACGCAUCCCCGUUCUCCAUGCGGCCCAGCUGCUCCUCCAGGCGACAGAUGCGGUCGCCCUGCUCCUUGACCAGCGCCCUCAGGGCCCGCAGCUCCUGCAUCACCUCCUCCAGCUUCCCAGCCUCCUGUGGGGACAUGAAGCAGGUGUAGGGGGUGGUGGUCAGGGGCUGCUAAGCCAUAGCCCUCCCAAACCCACCACUACCCCAGAGAGGGACAGCGAAUGGCUGAGGCCCACACAGCAGGCCAGGGCCACACCUGGGGCUCCCAGCACCACCCCUGCCUGCGGGUGCAUACCCCGGCUCUGGCCAGGCUGCCGCUGGGGGUGGCAUCAGCAGCAGUGGUGGUGGAGGCGGGGGCCCCUAGGUGGGAGGAGCCCGGGGCCAUGGCGGGCCGGCUGUCAGACAACACGUUGCGCCGGCUGAUCUUCAGGUCCCGCUGCUUGCUGGGCACGUAGGCCUCCCUCAGUGAGAUGAGGAUCGGGUCGGCAUCCCGCCCGCUCACCCACUCCUCAGCCUCCAGGGCUGCCUCGGGCCCGGCUGUGUCGGGGUACAGAUCAUCCUGGAAGAGGUCCGACUGGGCAGGGGGCCGGGGAGGUCAGGAUCAGUUAGGAGGCCCCAUCAGGGUCCCCUCAUCCCUCCCCUGGCCUCCAGGCUUGCACUCUGUUAACCCAUUCUCCCACGACCUGGAAAGCUCAAAUCUGGCCUUUCACUUCCUUUCUGGACAACAUCAACAGCUCCCUCGGAAGCUUUCCCACCCUUCUGAGCAAGGCCCCUGUCAUCACCUUCCCCUGCAAGGCACAGGGGCCACUAUGUGGCUUUAUGGGAUUCUGGGGCCCAUGGACUGUGAGCUCCUGGAGCAGGCCCUAUCAGCUCAGCUCCACUCCCCAAAAUGUGCCUGGCAUGUUGAAAGAGCAGUCGGCAAAUGCUGGCCAGAGAAUCAUGGAAGCGUGUCCGAGGCUCUUGGCAUCUGAGGCCAAGCCACAUGUGGCCCGGUCCCCUCUUCAUGGGAUUCCCCACUGCAGCCAGACUCCUUGUUCCCCUCUCCAUUCCCACCACUGUGCCCUUCGCCUGGCCUGCCCCCAGUGGAUGGCGCCACCCCAGCUGUGCUAUGGGUCCUGCCUCCUUCAGGAAGAUCUGCGUGGCUGCCACUCCCUCCCUGACUGCCUGGUGUCCUUCUCCUGUGGCUCGUCCAGAGCAGGGCCCCUGCUCACCCUCUGUCUCAUCCCCACUUGCCCCCUGACUGGCACAGCCCAACAGCUGGCUGGUACAAGGGCAAGCUGGCAUCUGUCCAGCUCACUGCCCACAAACCAUACUAGGUCAUGUUCCAUUCACAGGCCUCGCCCUGGUCACAACUGCAUGGCCCGCUUGCUGGAGAAAGGGCCAAGUGAGCCGAGGGACGGGCGGCCUCACCUUUCUUGGCACAGUCAUGACGAUGGGCUCACACUUGCGCUCAUGCAGUUUGUAGAACCUGGGGAUGCAAGGAGGAGCCACGGGUGGAACCCUCACCGCCCCCCCCACCCACCGCCAGCUCUCCUGGCAUCCUCCACUUCCAGUCCUCACCCCAGGACCUCCGCAGGCUGACCCCUAAGGUGGCUAGACCCCCACACGGGCUGCCUCGUGACAGUUCUCAUGGCCCGCCGGGCCUCCCUGGCGCAAGGUUUCCUGCUCCCAAGCAGCCUCCAAUGACCUGACCUCUCACCUUAGAUGCCCCUGUCCCCGAGUGGCCUCGGUAGCCCUCUUACCGGGCGAUCUCGCACUUGCUGACCUCCAGGCCCCGCUUGGGCAUGCUGCCCAUACCCCGCUGCGGCUCCUUGCUGGUGAACGUGUUCAGGAAGUGGAUGUAGGGAGGCUCCUCUGUGAUCUCAAAGUACCGGAUGCUGGAGUCACCCUGUGUGGGGAGGGGGCUCAGCACCUGGGCACGCCUCUUCCCUGCCCCUCCCCAGCCCUGCCCAGCCCCACCUUGCCGCAGACGUAGACCACACUGGUGUCGGGGUCGUAGAAGGGCAGCAGGGCCCCGUUGCUCGAGUCCAGUUCCUGCAGGGCCAUGGGUUCCUCGAGGUUUUCCUGGCACAUUGCAGGCAGUCAGGCCAAGCAGAACCUCCUCACCCCCUAAUCCCAAACCAGGACGGGCCUUAGCUGGCCUCACUAAGGCCAGCCAGCACUGCCCCUAAAUGCAGGUGGGCCCUCUGCCGUCUCUAUGCCUUUUCCCACAUGAGGACCCCUACCUGGCCCUCCUGGCUUCACUUUAUUCCCAGGGUCCCUCUUUUCCAGCCUCCUCCAGGCCUUAAGACUAUGCCCAGGCCACUGAGCAAGUGCUGAAACAUACCCCACUGUGGGGAGCUGGGGUGCCAGCGGCACCAGCCCCUGCUCAAGGUGCCCUGGAGGUCACUAUGCAGAAGCAGAGAGGGCUGGGGCCAGGAGGCUUGCUGGAGGAGGAGGCUUUCUGGAGGAGCAGGGAGCCCUGUGCAGGCAGUGGGUGGUACAGGCAAGCAAGGGAGAGAAGGGCCCUUCCGUUGGCAUGAACAACAUGGGCAAAGACACGGAGGCAGUGGGAGGCCAUGGGGGAGUGGUGGGGCAGUCGGGCGAGCAGGGGGCAGGAGAGGAAAGUCUGACAGAGUCCCAGGCCCUGAGAGCCUCAAGUUCCAGGCAGAGAAGCUAGGAACCACAGGCCUCCCCAGGGUGAACCCUGCCUGCCUGGACCAGGGUGGGGCCCAAGUCUCAAGUUUGCCCCCUCAGGCUGGCCACUCACUGGGUCCCAGAGUGCCAGCUGCCGCUCGCUCAUUCGGCUGAAGCCUGUGGUGAACACCUUGCCAUCUGCCAGGAAGAUGGCCCGCAUGGGCCGGGCCCCCUCAUGAGCCUUCUCCCGCUCCUGUCGGGGGGACAGGCUGGUCAGUGCAGCACCCUGCUCAAGGCCCUGGGCCUAUCCACAGCCAUCCUUGCCCUCCAGAGCCACGUACUGCCACCAGGGUGCCCCGACGGGGGUCGAUGAUGCGCACACUCUUGUCCUUGCAUGCUGAGCAAAACAGGCUGCCACUGUGGUUCCAGCUGACAUUGUAGAUGAGGUCAGGGUGCAGGCUGUCCAGGCGGUACAGCUCCUCCGCUGUGCCCACAUUCCAGAUGAGUACCACGUUGUCGCAGCCUGGCAGGUGAGGGUUGUCAGCUCAGGCCGGGCGGGUGGCAGGAGGCCAUUAGCUCACCAGGCUGAGGCCCACUCUGCCCACCACCCUGGGACAGACGGGUCUCUCCAACUCUGAGGGCCUCAGCUUUCCCAUUUGUCAUGUGGGCCCUGGAGGGGCUGCUGGGAUGUAUGGAGGGGUCCGGGGGGGGGGGGAGCACAAAACGGGGGGCGGUGCAGACCUGCACUGAGCAGCACGUUUCGGGCCGUGGGGUGCCAGGUGAUGAUGCCCACUCGCUUGGUGUGCCCCUCCAGUACCACCACCGGCUCUGUCAGCGGGGAGGUCAGCCCGUUCUCUGGGAUCUGCCACACCUGUGGUAGGGACAGGGCCACCGAGCUCAGUCCUCUGCUGGUCCUAUUGCUGGCCCCCUUUGGCCACGCCCGCGACCCUGGCCCAGCCAGUCCUGUGCCUCACCAUGACCGUGCAGUCCUCCGAGCCGCUGGCUAUGACUUCGUCGUUGUGAGGACACCAAUCGAUGUCCAGGACAGGUCCUGUGUGCCCACACACCGUCGGGUAGGCCUUGUCAAUGCGGCCCGUCUGUGGGCACGAGGGGGCAGUCAGUGGGCUCCAUCCCUCCCGAAGCCUUGGUCUUCCCCUCCAUGGUGUGGGAAUGACAUGCACGUCCCGGCUCACAGGUGGCCCAGAUGUGACUGUGCCCCACUUGCCAGGUGAGCAGGAAAUGUUUGCUGCCUCUAACCCUGCCCCUAUGGCAACAGGCUACUCUCCAUCUGUGCUAACACCUGGGGCGAUAAAUCUGGGUUAUAACACCUGCCCAGCAGUGUGAGAAACGGCAAGAUGAGGGAUUCAAGGUGAGCAGAAAGGCCCAGCAGGGGUAGCCGAGGUGCCUCCUCUUCCCCCAACCCUGACAGGACCCACCUUGCUUAGGGGGAGCACCAGAAAGGCACCCCCUCCACUGGCCUCCACAAUCACCGCCAGGAACUUGGGGUUGACGGCGCAGAAGGUGCUGUCCCAGGUAACACGGGACACGCGAAUGUCCUCAUAGCACUGGUCGUUCUUGACCGGCUGCCCGAACACAUGCCGGAAUUUGCUCUGCCGGACCACUUUGCGGAAGGACAUGUCUGCGGGACAGAGAGGCCUGGGUCAGUCCGGCCCAUCCCAACAACUCCAGCCCUCCCCAGGCUGCUGAAGUGGCAUCCGCAGGAGUCUCCAGGAUUGGGUGAGGCCCCGCCUUCCCGGCCCCCGACGGAACGCACACCUCCAAGGGGCCCCAUUACCGCCCCCAACAAAUAAAUGUAGAAUCUACACGGA